UCGCCAACCCGGUCAGGUCCGGAAGGAAGCAGCCGUAACGAGUUUUCGCUUGGGUCGGUUUCCAGUCUCUCACCU
rnacentral:SRP_RNA from 1 species